rnacentral:rRNA from 1 species
ACUUUCCUACGGGAGGCAGCAGUGGGGAAUAUUGCACAAUGGGGGGAACCCUGAUGCAGCGAUGCCGCGUGGAGGAAGAAGGUUUUCGGAUUAUAAACUCCUUUUAUCAGGGACGAUAAUGACGGUACCUGAAGAAAAAGCUCCGGCUAACUACGUGCCAGCAGCCGCGGUAAUACGUAGGGAGCGAGCGUUGUACGGAAUUACUGGGUGUAAAGGGAGCGUAGGCGGGACGGCAAGUCAGAUUUGAAAACUGAGGGCU